rnacentral:rRNA from 1 species
GAUGAACGCUGGCGGCGUGCCUAAUACAUGCAAGUCGAGCGAACGGACGAGAAGCUUGCUUCUCUGAUGUUAGCGGCGGACGGGUGAGUAACACGUGGAUAACCUACCUAUAAGACUGGGAUAACUUCGGGAAACCGGAGCUAAUACCGGAUAAUAUUUUGAACCGCAUGGUUCAAAAGUGAAAGACGGUCUUGCUGUCACUUAUAGAUGGAUCCGCGCUGCAUUAGCUAGUUGGUAAGGUAACGGCUUACCAAGGCAACGAUGCAUAGCCGACCUGAGAGGGUGAUCAGCCACCCUGGAACUGAGACACGGUCCAGACUCCUACGGGAGGCAGCAGUAGGGAAUCUUCCGCAAUGGGCGAAAGCCUGACGGAGCAACGCCGCGUGAGUGAUGAAGGUCUUCGGAUCGUAAAACUCUGUUAUUAGGGAAGAACAUAUGUGUAAGUAACUGUGCACAUCUUGACGGUACCUAAUCAGAAAGCCACGGCUAACUACGUG